rnacentral:sRNA from 1 species
AGGAUGAGAAGCUUCGACUAAGGUUCGAUUCGAGCGAAAGCGAGAAAGCGUUGCCAACGGCAACGACCCGAAGGGCGAAGCGCGCAGCGCUGAGUAAUCCUUCCCCCGUCAUCC